rnacentral:rRNA from 1 species
CUGGUUGAUCCUGCCAGAGGUUACUGCUAUCGAGGUUCGACUAAGCCAUGCGAGUCGAAUGUAGCAAUACAUGGCGUACUGCUCAGUAACACGUGGACAACCUACCCUUAGGAUGGGGAUAAACCCGGGAAACUGGGUAUAAUACCCAAUAGAUCUGGUCUGCUGGAAUGCUUCCAGAUUUAAAACUCCGGUGCCUAAGGAUGGGUCUGCGGCCUAUCAGGUUGUAGUGGGUGUAGUGUACCUACUAGCCUACGACGGGUACGGGUUGUGAGAGCAAGAGCCCGGAGAUGGAUUCUGAGACACGAAUCCAGGCCCUACGGGGUGCAGCAGGCGCGAAAACUUUACAAUGCCGGCAACGGCGAUAAGGGGACCUCGAGUGCCAGGUUACAAAUCUGGCUGUCGCGAUGCCUAAAAAGCAUUGCAUAGCAAGGGCCGGGCAAGACCGGUGCCAGCCGCCGCGGUAACACCGGCGGCUCGAAUGGUAACCGUUAUUAUUGGGUCUAAAGGGUCUGUAGCCGGCCGGGUAAGUCUCUUGGGAAAUCCAGCAGCUCAACUGUUGGGCUUUCAGGAGAUACUGCCUGGCUCGAGGCCGGGAGAGGUGAGAGGUACUUCAGGGGUAGGGGUGAAAUCUUGUAAUCCUUGAAGGACCACCAGUGGCGAAGGCGUCUCACCAGAACGGACCUGACGGCAAGGGACGAAAGCUAGGGGCACGAACCGGAUUAGAUACCCGGGUAGUCCUAGCCGUAAACGAUACUCGCUAGGUGUCGGCCACGGUGCGACCGUGGUCGGUGCCGUAGGGAAGCCGUGAAGCGAGCCACCUGGGAAGUACGGCCGCAAGGCUGAAACUUAAAGGAAUUGGCGGGGGAGCACCAC